CCCAUCCUCCCUUGGGAUCGGAUACGUACCAUGCACGAUAGUACACGUGAGAGGUGGCCUCCAAAGGGUUUUCGCGGUAGGGUGGGAUCAAUCAUGCUACCUCUUUUGGCACAGGUGGUUGAGUACAUCUUGUCCUCCCUUAGAUAGUAUAAGAGAUCGCGGACUGACAAAUUUCCCACGUCUUCGUCAUAAUCUUGGAUCUUCAUCACUCUGCAGCGUCUGCCGCCAAGCCCCUGAGAACACAUUGCAUGUUCUUAGGGAUUGCUAUUAUGCAAAAGAGUUUGGGAGAGGAGAUUUCUUGGGAUAACUUUGAGCGAUACCUUGAUGCGUCUCGAAUUAUUCUUAGAUCGUUCCAAACCAGUUGGGAUGGAUUAAACUACUUCGGCUCCAUCUCAGGAAUGGAAACUUGUCUUUUGGUCCAGACCAGAAUUGGAUGGGUCGAACGAAAACACUUGAUGGAGCCUGCAAUCCUAGGCCGGCUGGCGCGGGAGGUAUUAUCAGAGACGAUCGAGCGAAUUUGAUUAGCGAUUUUGUGCACAACAUUGUGUUUGCUCUUUGAUUGUGGCUAAGCUAUAUAUGGGGUGUAUUUUCGGAUUUGGAAUUGGCUUGGUCUCUCGGCUUUAGGAAUGUGGUGCUCAACUCGAGAUCGAUUCACGGGUUGUGCGUGAUGUGGUUAUGGAGAGAGGUUGUUUUGCUGCUACACUCUGCGGCCUUGUUUCUAACAUACAAGCUUGUCUUGAUCGGGACUGGAUACUAGGGAGGUGAAGCAUGUGUUUUGGGAAGGCAACUCUUGUGCGGACUAGCUUGCUUGGAAAUCUCUUGGCUAUCCUUUGGGUGUGUUGGGAAGGGAUGUAUUCAACCAAAUAAUAACGCAGCGAUUAAUCUUCCUCCCCUA